GCCAAACAGUAGAGUGUAAAACGACGAAUACUUUUCAUCCUUAACGGUCGCCAUCUUGGCUAUUUUCAAACUUGUGAAAACGGUGCUAGAAGAAGGAGAACACAGCAUCCGUCGGCCUAAUUUCUAUGUCGCAUGAAACAGGGGGAACACACAGUGAAGUAAAACAUUAAUUUUGAAGUCAAGCUAGCACAGCAGCUGGCAGAUAUGUCGGAGGAGGGCAACAGGUGAUCGUCAUUUCCGGUCCCGGUGAUGAUGCUCCUUGUCAGCGUGCUCGUGUCAACCUGGAACAGUUUGCGAUGCUACAGCUGUGAGAGCUGUGGUGACAGAUCCCCACCUGUCACGAGACACAUCAUCUGGUCUUCACUCAGCCUAAGGUUUGUUGCCAGUUCAGCUGCGGCGCACAAUCAGCCUCAAACCUGCUGAGAGGAGAGGAGGUCAAAUAUACUACAGAGCAAAAUGGAGACAAA